UAAAACGUAGGACGCGAGCGUUAUCCGGAGUUACUGGGCGUAAAGCGCGGGCAGGCGGUCUGACAAGUCUGAUGUGAAAUCACCCAGCUUAACUGGGCGAGGCCAUUGGAAACUGACAGGCUGGAGGGCAGUAGAGGUAGGCGGAAUUCCGGGUGGAGUGGUGAAAUGCGUAGAGAUCCGGAGGAACACCAGAGGCGAAGGCGGCCUACUGGGCUGCACCUGACGCUGAGCCGCGAAAGCCAGGGGAGCGAACGGGAUUAGAAACCCCGGUAGUCCUGGCCGUAAACGAUGUGUGCUGGAUGGUGGGGGGUAACACCCACACUGUCGAAGCUAACGCGAUAAGCACACCGCCUGGGGAGUACGGCCGCAAGGCUA
rnacentral:rRNA from 1 species